GACGAACGCUGGCGGCGUGCCUAAUACAUGCAAGUCGAACGAACUCUGGUAUUGAUUGGUGCUUGCAUCAUGAUUUACAUUUGAGUGAGUGGCGAACUGGUGAGUAACACGUGGGAAACCUGCCCAGAAGCGGGGGAUAACACCUGGAAACAGAUGCUAAUACCGCAUAACAACUUGGACCGCAUGGUCCGAGUUUGAAAGAUGGCUUCGGCUAUCACUUUUGGAUGGUCCCGCGGCGUAUUAGCUAGAUGGUGGGGUAACGGCUCACCAUGGCAAUGAUACGUAGCCGACCUGAGAGGGUAAUCGGCCACAUUGGGACUGAGACACGGCCCAAACUCCUACGGGAGGCAGCAGUAGGGAAUCUUCCACAAUGGACGAAAGUCUGAUGGAGCAACGCCGCGUGAGUGAAGAAGGGUUUCGGCUCGUAAAACUCUGUUGUUAAAGAAGAACAUAUCUGAGAGUAACUGUUCAGGUAUUGACGGUAUUUAACCAGAAAGCCACGGCUAACUACGUGCCAGCAGCCGCGGUAAUACGUAGGUGGCAAGCGUUGUCCGGAUUUAUUGGGCGUAAAGCGAGCGCAGGCGGUUUUUUAAGUCCGAUGUGAAAGCCUUCGGCUCAACCGAAGAAGUGCAUCGGAAACUGGGAAACUUGAGUGCAGAAGAGGACAGUGGAACUCCCAUGUGUAGCGGUGAAAUGCGUAGAUAUAUGGAAGAACACCAGUGGCGAAGGCGGCUGUCUGGUCUGUAACUGACGCUGAGGCUCGAAAGUAUGGGUAGCAAACAGGAUUAGAUACCCUGGUAGUCCAUACCGUAAACGAUGAAUGCUAAGUGUUGGAGGGUUUCCGCCCUUCAGUGCUGCAGCUAACGCAUUAAGCAUUCCGCCUGGGGAGUACGGCCGCAAGGCUGAAACUCAAAGGAAUUGACGGGGGCCCGCACAAGCGGUGGAGCAUGUGGUUUAAUUCGAAGCUACGCGAAGAACCUUACCAGGUCUUGACAUACUAUGCAAAUCUAAGAGAUUAGACGUUCCCUUCGGGGACAUGGAUACAGGUGGUGCAUGGUUGUCGUCAGCUCGUGUCGUGAGAUGUUGGGUUAAGUCCCGCAACGAGCGCAACCCUUAUUAUCAGUUGCCAGCAUUAAGUUGGGCACUCUGGUGAGACUGCCGGUGACAAACCGGAGGAAGGUGGGGAUGACGUCAAAUCAUCAUGCCCCUUAUGACCUGGGCUACACACGUGCUACAAUGGAUGGUACAACGAGUUGCGAACUCGCGAGAGUAAGCUAAUCUCUUAAAGCCAUUCUCAGUUCGGAUUGUAGGCUGCAACUCGCCUACAUGAAGUCGGAAUCGCUAGUAAUCGCGGAUCAGCAUGCCGCGGUGAAUACGUUCCCGGGCCUUGUACACACCGCCCGUCACACCAUGAGAGUUUGUAACACCCAAAGUCGGUGGGGUAACCUUUUAGGAACCAGCCGCCUAAGGUGGGACAGAUGAUUAGGGUG
rnacentral:rRNA from 1 species